AGGUGUGCUGCGACAGGCACAUUAAAAACGUGACUGAAGUCAAUCACUCUGAUGAUGAAAAGAAAGCUAGCAGUGGUGCAGAGCUAGUUUCCAUUGACUUUCUGUUGCUGUUAUGAAGAAUAAUUCAAUGAUUAUCUAUAUGUAUUGAAAUAAUGCAUUAAAGGUGGCAGACGCAUAUUAAAUACAACCAGUUUAGCAUUUCAAAUAGAGGAACUAGAGAUUUGAGAAGUGCAGUAAGAAAGACAAGAGAAUGAGAAGGAAGACUGAGAGUGCAAGUGAGAAGAGGAUGAAAGGGACCUGAGGAGGAGAUGCCUGAGCAGGAUCUGAGAUGGUUGCCCUGAGUUUUUCUGAGUCCUCCUAUACAUCCAGAAAGCUACAUGCUGAGAAUCCACACUCAUUUGGCCUGGGAUUGCAGAUGCCUGGACCCACUUAUGCAGCUUAUGCUCUAUCUCCUCUAUGCAUCCACUGAAAGACCUAAUGGCACUGUCUAAUGUUGUAGUACAUUAUCAGACUCUAAAUACACAAAGGUCCAUAUUAGAAAUACAUUCAAAAACAUUUUGCACUUUCACCAAACUUCACAUUGCUCAUUGCCCUCCAGGUGCUGGAACAUAACAGAGCAUAACCACAUAGCACUGAUGAACUUACCCACUUCAGACUUCUAAGCUGUUGAUGUGAAAUCCCUGAAUUCUGAUGUCAUCAGAUAGUCAGCUUUCCUUAAAAAGUUACUAUACUAAGAGUGAUGAAAAGAAGCUGUAAACUAAAUACCUUCAAAGUGCAAAUUGCAAUGCAGAACCUGAGUUUUCAGUUUAUUCAAAUAUAACAGAAGAAUGUUAAAAGGAGAAAGAAAAAGACAGGAAUAAAAUAGAAAUGAGAGAGGAGAAAAAAAAAUGCAUCUCAUCCCCAAAAGUGACCAAAUUAUUGAAGAGUGGCAGUGG